GAUGAACGCUGGCGGCGUGCCUAAUACAUGCAAGUCGAACGCUGAAGGAGGAGCUUGCUCUUCUGGAUGAGUUGCGAACGGGUGAGUAACGCGUAGGUAACCUGCCUGGUAGCGGGGGAUAACUAUUGGAAACGAUAGCUAAUACCGCAUGACAACAGUUAUUGCAUGAUAACUGUUUAAAAGGGGCAACUGCUCCACUACCAGAUGGACCUGCGUUGUAUUAGCUAGUUGGUGAGGUAACGGCUCACCAAGGCGACGAUACAUAGCCGACCUGAGAGGGUGAUCGGCCACACUGGGACGGGGACACGGCCCAGACGCCUACGGGAGGCAGCAGUAGGGAAACUUCGGCAAUGGACGGAAAUCUGACCGAGCAACGCCGCGGGAGUGAAGAAGGGUUUCGGAUCGGAAAGCUCUGUUGUAAGAGAAGAACGAGUGUGAGAGUGGAAAGUUCACACUGUGACGGUAUCUUACCAGAAAGGGACGGCUAACUACGUG
rnacentral:rRNA from 1 species